CCCCCCAUAGCUUAAUGGUAAAGCACCCGCCUUUUAAGCGGAUGACCUAGGUCCGAUUCCUAGUGGGGGGA
rnacentral:tRNA from 2 species